rnacentral:RNase_MRP_RNA from 1 species
GCUCGCUCUGAAGGCCUGUUGCCUAGGCUACGCACGAAGGACUGGUUCCUUACCUUCCACCCAGGGGAAAGUCACCGGACUUGGGCAGAGAGCGCCGCGUGCCCUUGCACGCAGACCUUCCCUCUUGUCACUGCUUAGCCCCCCGAGAAGCCACCCCUCAAUCUGCGGCAGGGUCGGGGGGGGGGCGUCCUCCAUCAGCUCUGCUAGUUAUGCAGGCAGGGCUUCACCUUGCACAGCAAACUGUACAUAAUGUGAUGUGUCCUUACUACACAACACGAG